GUAAAGUUUGCUCAAAGCCUUCAGUCCUUUGCAGAGCAGCAAGCUGGAUGCCACUGUGGGGCUCUAAGAGUCCUGAAUUCUUACUGGGUUGAUGAAGAUUCCACAUAAACAUUUUUUGAUGUUAUCCUCAUUGAUCCAUUCCAUAAAGCUAUCAGAAGAAAUCUUGACACCCAGUGGAUCACCAAACCAGUCCACAAGCACAGGGAAAUGCAUGGGCUGACACCUGCAGGCUGAAAGAGCCAUGGCCUUGGAAAGGGCCAUAAGUUCCACCACACUAUUGGUGGUUCUUCCCCUGAAGCUUGGAGAAGGCACAAUACUCUCCAGCUCCACCGUU
rnacentral:lncRNA from 10 species